rnacentral:rRNA from 1 species
AGUGAACGCUGGCGGUAGGCCUAACACAUGCAAGUCGAACGGCAGCACAGUAAGAGCUUGCUCUUACGGGUGGCGAGUGGCGGACGGGUGAGGAAUACAUCGGAAUCUACUUUUUCGUGGGGGAUAACGUAGGGAAACUUACGCUAAUACCGCAUACGACCUACGGGUGAAAGCAGGGGAUCUUCGGACCUUGCGCGAUUGAAUGAGCCGAUGUCGGAUUAGCUAGUUGGCGGGGUAAAGGCCCACCAAGGCGAGGAUCCGUAGCUGGUCUGAGAGGUUGAUCAGCCACACUGGAACUUAGACACGGUCCAGACUCCUACGGGAGGCAGCAGUGUGGAAUAUUGGACAAUGGGCGCAAGCCUGAUCCAGCCAUACCGCGUGGGUGAAGAAGGCCUUCGGGUUGUAAAGCCCUUUUGUUGGGAAAGAAAAGCAGCAGGUUAAUACCCCGCUGUUCUGACGGUACCCAAAGAAUAAGCACCGGCUAACUUCGUG